rnacentral:rRNA from 1 species
AUUGAACGCUGGCGGCAGGCCUAAUACAUGCAAGUCGAACGGUAACAUAAAAGAAGCUUGCUUCUUUUGAUGACGAGUGGCGGACGGGUGAGUAAUAUUUGGGAAACUACCUGAUAGAGGGGGACAACAGUUGGAAACGACUGCUAAUACCGCAUAAAGCCUGAGGGUGAAAGCAGCAAUGCGCUAUCAGAUGUGCCCAAACGGGAUUAGCUAGUAGGUGAGGUAAAGGCUCACCUAGGCGACGAUCUCUAGCUGGUCUGAGAGGAUGAUCAGCCACAUUGGGACUGAGACACGGCCCAGACUCCUACGGGAGGCAGCAGUAGGGAAUAUUGCACAAUGGGGGAAACCCUGAUGCAGCGACGCCGCGUGAGUGAAGAAGUGUUUCGGCACGUAAAGCUCUAUCAGCAGGGAAGAAAAUGACGGUACCUGACUAAGAAGCCCCGGCUAACUACGUG